rnacentral:rRNA from 1 species
AUUGAACGCUGGCGGAAUGCUUUACACAUGCAAGUCGAACGGCAGCACGGACUUCGGUCUGGUGGCGAGUGGCGAACGGGUGAGUAAUAUAUCGGAACGUGCCCAGUCGUGGGGGAUAACGUAGUGAAAAUUACGCUAAUACCGCAUACGAUCUACGGAUGAAAGCGGGGGAUCGCAAGACCUCGCGCGAUUGGAGCGGCCGAUAUCAGAUUAGGUAGUUGGUGAGGUAAAGGCUCACCAAGCCAACGAUCUGUAGCUGGUCUGAGAGGACGACCAGCCACACUGGGACUGAGACACGGCCCAGACUCCUACGGGAGGCAGCAGUGGGGAAUUUUGGACAAUGGACGCAAGUCUGAUUCGGCCAUUCCGCGUGCAGGACGAAGGCCUUCGGGUUGUAAACUGCUUUUGUACAGAACGAAAAGGUUUCUAUUAAUACUAGGGGCUCAUGACGGUACUGUAAGAAUAAGCACCGGCUAACUACGUGCCAGCCGCCGCGGUAA